GGUCCGCACGUAACACUACACUGACGCACAAUGCCGCGUGAGUGAUGAAGGCCUUCGGGUCGUAAAGCUCUGUCAAAGGGAAAGAAACUCCCGUCGGUUAAUACCCGGCGGGCCUGACGGUACCCUCAAAGGAAGCACCGGCUAACUCCGUGCCAACAGCCGCGGUAAUACGGAGGGUGCAAGCGUUGUUCGGAAUUAUUGGGCGUAAAGGGCGUGUAGGCGGUUCGUUAAGUCUGAUGUGAAAGCCCUGGGCUUAACCUGGGAAAGUGCAUUGGAAACUGGCGAACUUGAGUAUGGGAGAGGAAAGUGGAAUUCCGAGUGUAGGGGUGAAAUCCGUAGAUAUUCGGAGGAACACCAGUGGCGAAGGCGGCUUUCUGGACCAAUACUGACGCUGAGACGCGAAAGCGUGGGGAGCAAACAGGAUUAGAUACCCUGGUAGUCCACGCCGGUAAACGAU
rnacentral:rRNA from 1 species